rnacentral:rRNA from 1 species
UCCAGACUCCUACGGGAGGCAGCAGUGAGGAAUAUUGGUCAAUGGGCGCGAGCCUGAACCAGCCAAGUCGCGUGAGGGAAGACGGUCCUAUGGAUUGUAAACCUCUUUUGUCGGGGAGCAAAAGACGCCACGCGUGGCGUUCCGAGAGUACCCGAAGAAAAAGCAUCGGCUAACUCCGUGCCAGCAGCCGCGGUAAUACGGAGGAUGCGAGCGUUAUCCGGAUUUAUUGGGUGUAAAGGGUGCGUAGACGGGAAAGCAAGUUAGUUGUGAAAUCCCUCGGCUUAACUGAGGAACUGCAACUAAAACUACUUUUCUUGAGUGCAGGAGAGGUAAGUGGAAUUCCUAGUGUAGCGGUGAAAUGCGUAGAUAUUAGGAGGAACACCAGUGGCGAAGGCGACUUACUGGACUGUAACUGACGUUGAGGCACGAAAGUGUGGGGAGCAAACAGGAUUAGAUACCCUCGUAAA